GGGGUUAAGGAAAAAAUUGGUUUCAUGUUAACACCCAUUUUUAUUUCAUGUUAGUCAAAUGGGUUGAGGAUUGUUAACUUUAAAUUGGUUAAUGUGAACAUUAAGGUUAACCUGACUGUUAACAUUAAGCUGGAACUAAAAUAGAUGGGCAUAUUUUUACUCAUAGUUUCAAAUUAAACAAAAUAUUUUUGGUAUUUAUUGAAUACUUUUGUAUUUACUUAAGCUUUAUCUGGGACAUUAUUCAGUGGUGAUUUGCAGAAUGAUAAUGAGUUGUGGUGCACAGCAGAUGUGAGCUGUGGGUUUUGUUUUGGGGUUCACAUUAGAGAGCUUGAGGAAGAAGUGAAACUUCUUUAUAUUUCUCAAUGCCUUAAGUUUUUGGUACGUUUUUCGAUAAAUUACAUUUGUAUUCAACUACAUUUUAAUAAAUUACAUUUGUAUUCAACUACAUCGUGUCAUUACGCACGAGCAUACUUUUUAUUCUUUACUUUACAUAGCUCUUAUUCUUCCCUUUUUAUUCU